AAAACCCCCAAGUGGCGCCUUCAGCCCUAUCUCUAUGAAACCUUCAGUUUCCCCCCAAACCCCUACCAUGGCCCUAGCUUCCAGUGUUCGCCUUUCUUCCUCUAUGAAAGAGUUUUUUUUUUUAUGGUGAUUUUAUACUUUGUGAAUGAGUCAGAUCCCUUACCAAAUCAACAAGUCAGCCCUUGUGGAGAAGAUAGCCGAACUUGUGGCAAAUGAUCCUUUAAAAAGUGCUGGAUUGGUUUAGAAGGAAUAAGCGAUAUUAGGGAUGAAAGUGAUCGUUCUGGAAUGCGUGUUGUCAUUGAGCUCAAGCAAGGAUGAGACCCAUCAAUUGUUCUGAAUAAUCUUUGUCGCCUCACAUCUCUUCAAUGCAGCUUUAGUUGUAACAUGGUUGGUGUUCAUAAUGGGCAACCUAAGCAGAUUGGGUCUAAAGGAGUUGCUGCAGGGCAUUGUUGUGGGCCUGGAUAAUUUGGAAGCUAAUUCGUAUACUAAGAGAAUCUUCUAGCAAUGCAAUUGCAUCAUCUGGUCUAAGGAGCUGUGAGCUCCCCUAUGUUUUUGAGUUUUUCAUUUUCUUCAACUUGAGUAGAAGUGGUGGUUCAAAAGCACUG